rnacentral:lncRNA from 1 species
AUAAACACAUGUUUAUUGUAGAAACACAUUUUCUCAUGUUUGACUACUUUAGUUAAAAUAACUUUAACAGUUGUAUGUCUCACACUAAAAUCACCCGCCUUCAUUCCCACAAGUGAAUUCAACAAAUUAUAUGUUCAAUUUAAUUAAUGUAUUAAUCAGUGUCAAUGAUCCAGUGUCAAUAUUUUCAAUAUCAAUAUUUU